rnacentral:lncRNA from 1 species
GCCUAAUUAGAUAGCCAAAUACACGUUGCUAUUUACCUAGUCAAUCCUCCUAAUUGCUCGGUAGUGGCUGAGAAACAAUAACAACCUUUAAACAAUAACAUUAGUAGAAAUCAUGGGAUAGUCUUUUCCUGGAAAUUGGAUUUACAAUUCUCUUCCUUGGACUACAUGACCAACUCAUCUUUCUCCACUAUCAAUAUAUACCCCCAUUUUCAUUGCUCAACCGAAGCCGGUACCAUGCAUUUAUUUUCUCUCACAUGUUGAACAGUGUAUUAUGAGCGUCAAGGUAUUCUAAUUCCUUAAAUUAAUUAGUUUGGUCUGUUACAUUAAUACAAUUAUCCAAAUCAAGAAAACAAACCCCCUCCCACGCAUAUGGCUUCACGCAAAAACAUCCCUUAUCAAAAAGUUCUAUUAUUAUUUCUCAUGGUCUUUGAGCAUACAUCUCCAACAUUCCAUUGAUUCACAUGUUGUAUACAAAUAUCUUCCAAGUCCAUCGAUCAUUCCUAAGCUCUUAUCUUGUCAAAUAAUUUUCGUUUCUUCAUUUUCAAUGGUCUGAUCGUCAAAAUAAUGACUGGAGCGAGAGAAACCGUGUCUGUACCGUAGCUGUGAGUUUAAGGUGGUUUAGAGUUCGGCUAGGAAGAAAAGACAUCGAGGGUGAUCGAGAGUAGGUUGCUGUGUUUUUGCUGUCGUGAGUGGCUACCCCUCACUGAGUCGUUUAGGUGCUCUGAUACGUAACGGGAUGGGAACUUUGUUGCAUGCUUUUCUAUUC